GCCGAAUAUAUCGACGAAAAGUCAAACCGUCAAGCUUCGAUCAUUUUGACAUUUGCCUUUGCGGCGUGUGAGAGAAAGAGAAUUUCAUCUGAUCUCUCACUCGUUCAAAAUUCGAACUAGGAUUUGACAGUUCGAUUUUCAUUGUUCCUUUUUGUUCGUCGUGGUCGUCCCGUCGGCUGCUGCCUAGAAUGAAAACAAAAUAAAAUUUUGUUUGCUUGGGCCACGCGCAUAGUGCGUAAUUAAUUAUUAAUUAUAAUAAAUUAUAAUAAGUGCAAUAAUUAAAGUGCCUCCGCGGAUUAACGGGUGAAAAAUAGAAGAAAAAGAAGAAAUCCCGGUUGAUUGCAGUGCCUCCAACCAACCAACGAUCCUCCGGAUGAACGGGACUCACCAAAUCCGGGAGCAGCUCGAGGAAAAACGAAAACAUUGCAGCAGCAAACAUUAUCCCCGUCGUCUUCGGUCUUGUUUUGCCAGCCUGCUGAUGCCCACGGAGCGCUCCGAAACAAAUCCGGAAAUACUCUGGAACGUUCUGGAAAUACCGAGUUCAACAGACAGUUAUCAGCUGUUUUUACUACAGGAUCGUUCAAAUCUGGAGCUACAUAGUCGUUCGUAUUCUUGGCAGCACAAAUUACCUCAUCGGAAUGGAACCACGCCCGAAAGACGAUGAAGUUCCACCGCGUCAGCAGCCGGGGUUUUACGCUGGCUGGCCGCCGCCCACCGGCUAUCAUACAACGUGACGUCCCGGUUGGGUUGCAGCCGAUCGACCACCAUUCUUUGCGGUUCGUUUGGUGUGGCUGCUGGCGCUGAUGUGUAGCAGUUUCAUGAUAGGUUCGCUGACGACUGAUGGUUCCAGUGUGAAUUGUCACGGAAUGGAUCUAUUGCCGAUGGGCUCGUGGGUAACUCCUCCGAAUACGGCGGUCGCAAACAGAGCGAAACAAAAAAUGGUUGGUAGGCCAUCACCAGCGGAAGCAGCCCUUUUAGGAACAACACCAACAGCCUCCGGUGAAUGAUCCUCCGGAUGAGCGGGACUUACCGUUGCCGAUGUGCAAGCCGUUUAGUAG